CCUGUGCCGGAAGGCAUGGGAAAUCUUGUGAAACUCCAUCGUGCUGGGGAUAGACCAUUGCAAUUAUUGGUCUUCAACGAGGAAUUCCUAGUAAGCGCAAGUCAUCAGCUUGCGUUGAUUACGUCCCUGCCCUU
rnacentral:rRNA from 1 species